rnacentral:misc_RNA from 1 species
UCCAGAGGGCCCUGACUGCUGA